UUGAAACGAUGUCACUCUAAAGACCUGUGUAAUUUAUCUUGUCCCAGUGUAUUUUAGAUGUAGCUUCUGCAUGUGAGAGAAAGUGCACCUUUCAUAUCUCUGAGCUUGGCUUACCUCACUUAACAUGAUUUG